rnacentral:rRNA from 1 species
CCAAACUGUUGCCUCGGCGGGAUCUCUGCCCCGGGUGCGUCGCAGCCCCGGACCAAGGCGCCCGCCGGAGGACCAACCAAAACUCUUUUUGUAUACCCCCUCGCGGGUUUUUUUAUAAUCUGAGCCUUCUCGGCGCCUCUCGUAGGCGUUUCGAAAAUGAAUCAAAACUUUCAACAACGGAUCUCUUGGUUCUGGCAUCGAUGAAGAACGCAGCGAAAUGCGAUAAGUAAUGUGAAUUGCAGAAUUCAGUGAAUCAUCGAAUCUUUGAACGCACAUUGCGCCCGCCAGUAUUCUGGCGGGCAUGCCUGUCCGAGCGUCAUUUCAACCCUCGAACCCCUCCGGGGGGUCGGCGUUGGGGAUCGGCCCUGCCUCUUGGCGGUGGCCGUCUCCGAAAUACAGUGGCGGUCUCGCCGCAGCCUCUCCUGCGCAGUAGUUUGCACACUCGCAUCGGGAGCGCGGCGCGUCCACAGCCGUUAAACACCCAACUUCUGAAAUGUUGACCUCGGAUCAGGUAGGAAUACCCGCUGAACUUAAGCAUAUCAAUAAGCGGGAGGAACCAU